GGGCCUAUAGCUCAGUUGGUUAGAGCGCACGCCUGAUAAGCGUGAGGUCAUUGGUUCAACUCCAAUUAGGCCCA
rnacentral:tRNA from 1 species